AAUGAACGUUGGCGGCAUGGAUUAGGCAUGCAAGUCGAGCGAGAAGUCUUUUUUGCUUGCAUUAAAGACGGACAGCGGCGAAAGGGAGAGUAACGCGUAGAAAUGUACCCCAAGGUCUGGGAUAGCGGCGGGAAACUGCCAGUAAUACCGGAUAAUGUCUCCGGACCAAAGUUUUUCGCCUUGGGAGCAGUCUGCGUACUAUUAGCUUGUUGGUGGGGUAAAGGCCUACCAAGGCUUAGAUGGUUAGCGGGCGUGAGAGCGUGGCCCGUCUCACUGGGACUGAGACACUGCCCAGACGUCUACGGACGGCUGCAGUCGAGAAUCUUCCGCAAUGGGCGAAAGCCUGACGGAGCAAUGCCGCGUGGUGGAUGAAGGCCCUCGGGUUGUAAACACCUGUCAGUAGGAAGGAAAUUUUGACCGAUCUACAGAGGAAGUCCGGGCUAAGUACG
rnacentral:rRNA from 1 species